UGCUCGUCCAGUGGUUGUGUGGAAGGGAGAAGAGGAUCAGGAAGACACAAUCCAGAACUGAUGCCCCAGUGAUUCUGCUGCCUCUGCCAGAGUCAGAAAACUGUGGAUGUGGGAAGCUGCCCGUGGAGUCAGGAAGUCAUCCCUACUGAUGGAGCCUCUGCAGCCACCUUGGUCCUGGUCCACACCAGCAAUGUUGAUGCUGCCCUGCAGCCUGCCUAUCCCCUGGCUUAAUUCCGGCUCCAUGCAUGUGACGAGCAGAAAAAAGAAAGUCGCAUCUGGACCUCCGGCGGCAAGGGAGUCUGAGAAAGAUAGAUCUGUGCAUGGUCAUCUUAACCCUCCUGUAUCCUUAAAGCCCAGCACCAGGUCAAGUAUGCAGUGGGCACUCAGUAGUUGCAUGUUAAGUGAAUCGAUGAUUCUAGAAAAGAAAAUUUUGUUUACUGGCUCUUCACCUUUAGCAGGAAGUAAAUUCUCAACGGGGCUUUGGCUCGGAAAGAAUAUGGACCUGAAUGCUUUUCUCUUCCCCUCUCCUGUCCCUCCCUCCUCACUUCUCCUUUCUCCUCUUCUCCUCUCCUCUUCUCUCCCUUCCUCUGUCCCUUUUUGUCCCUUUCCUCCUCCCUCCCUCCUUUCCCUCUCCCUCUGUGUCAGCUUCCACCACCAGGAAACCAGCUUCUCCUGAGAACACACAGGGGGACCCUUCAAACUCAGUGUACAACACAGCCUCUUGAAUUCUGUGCAUUGCCUCUUUUAAUUAAACCCCUCCUUUCAGGAAGUCUCUCAAGGCUAUAAGCUUAUCAGAUCCUGAUGAGCACGUCAUCAAAGCUCCAAUCUGGUAUUAAUGGGAAAUGGCCUUUCCCUUCAGGGAGGGCCAAGCUUCUGUCCUUGGGAACCACUGCAUUCUCCUUGCUGGGAGGACACGUGGAUUUCCCCUCAGUGCUCUCUAGGGUGCUGCAAGCUGGCAAAGUUCACCUGCCCUUUUCAAAAUAUGAAAUACAUGCCUAAUUUCCAACAUCAUUGUGUUCCAUUUUCCCUGAUAACACCUUAACAGGGGCUUUAAUAACUGCAUUCUGUGGAAAGAGACACUGGCGCUGUGCUGUUGGCUCUAGGUUGUGAGCUGGGGCCCUGGCUGUGAGCCCUUGGAGGAAUCCCUUUACCUCUCUAUUCCAGGUUAUUCAUGUUUAAAAUGAAGUUCCUUAACUGCUCUCAGUUCUUCCCAGAAUUCAUGUAAUGAGUUCUAAGUGUCAGUUCUGCUAGGUCUAGGGAGAGGGAUGAAGCCUCUACAUGAGCCAGCCUGUGUUGGUUGGGGCAGAGCCUAGAGAUCCCUGGUUCAGUGAGGCUCCUGCACUAGGGAAGGGACCUCUGAGCUCCUCUUCUCGUGCCAAGCCCAUCUCCGCUCAUCCCAUGCUGACUGCAAGAAUGGUGUUUGCUCAAUGGUCAGGGAAGUGGUGCCCAAGAGCAGGAACCUGGCUUCACUCUGUCUCUCCUCUGGGCAUCAAAGAGGCAGUACCUGCUAGGACCGUCUCUUCCUUUCUAAAAUCAGGAAGUAACAAAAGGCAGGCUGGGAUUGCCCAUAGAUACAGCUCCGUCUUUCUCUCUCUCUCCUGAAACAGCCUGCAGACAUUCCUGAGUUCUUGUGCUGAGAUUAGGUUCAUUGUCAAACCCAAACCCAUUUGUUUUAAAGCCAGUUGUGCAAAAAUAUAUUAAAAAGCAAACAUGCGCAAACCAGAAGCCAGGGUCGGGGUUAUUGAGUGUAGCUUCGAUAUUAAUAACAUGAAAUAGAGUUCCCAGUCUCCCAAUUUCCCAUCUGAAUGGAGCUCUUUCAAAGCCCAGGAAGGCAGAUGGGAUGCACAGGGCAGGAUGGGCCCCUUCCAGGGUUUCUCAGUCCAAUGCCAUCACAGAGGAACUUGAAUGUUAUUUCUGGCAGUGUGGACUGGCUUCACACAGAGAUGAGGUGGCAGACGAUGAGGGACUUCCUGGCCAUAUUAAUGUGUAGAAUGCCUCUAAGCCACACAGGUACAAAGUGAGGGUGGAAACAUUAUUUCUAGCCCUUGGAACUGAUAGAAAAAUACUCCUGACAAAGAAUACAGGGAAUACUGCUGGUGGGACUCAGUAUAAGGUCACUUUGCUGGAAAGUAACAGAGAAUAAAUAAAAUUGAUUGAGUGCCUAUUAUGUGCUUGAAAUCACUUUACAUGCUGGGGCCACAGCAGUUGUCAAAAUUGUUGGAAAUCUCUGCCCUCAUGGAGCUCAGAGUCUAGGGGAUUUUUAAAAAUCACAGGCUGGGCAGAUACUGAAGCUGGCUUUGGGGCCAUUCGGAACUAAAGACUUGAAUUCUAACAAGAUUUCUGUGAUUCAGUUUCUUGCUGUGUCUUGGAGUCAUUUCCUCCAAGCACCUUCUGUCUCUACCUCUGUCAAGAAGAGGACAAAAUAGCCACCAUCCACAUUCUUGUCCCCAGACUGAUGAAGAAGAUGAUAAAAGGGAGGCUUUAGUUGGUAAGCAGAAAGGCACCAUGUAAGUGACAGGCUUACAUCUUGUAUGAAAUCAAGUGGGCAAGAAAGCUUCUGCUCAGGUGGGUACAGCCCCAAGGAGGCUGAUAGGUGAGCACUCUUAGGAACAUGGGCUUGCAGACUUCCCAGUGAAUGCUUCCUUGGGCUGUCAUUUGAACCUAAGAAGAAAGCACAGUUCAAGAAAGAUGAACACAUGUAGCCAACCUGAACUGAAACCAAGAAGGAAAGGAUCAGUCAAAUAGCUGUCUCCUCUGGGCUUGGCUGCCUGUCCUUGGAGAUAAUACUGGCACGUAGCAAGAACUUCCACCUGCAGCAUCCACAGCACAUCUCCAUGGGCCUUAGCAAGAUGCUAUGCAACACGGCUCUUUUCCAGUAUCCUAAUUUUCUGUUCAUAACAUGUUGGGUCUUUGGGAAUCACCAUUAUAAUCAUCAUAAUGUGUUGGGUCUUUGGGAAUUACUGUCAUGAUCAUCAUCAUCACCACCACCACCACCACCAACAUCAGUUUUCCUGGUCUCAUCUUCAUGAUCCUGUUUCAUUUCUUACUACUUCAAACAUUCUUUUUUCCUUCCCUAUGCCUGGAACAUCCUCUGCUCAUUUCUAAUCCCAGAUCUUUGCUUCAGCUGUGGCUCCCUGCACUCCCUGCCUGGGGAAUGCCCCAUGUACCCCCUUUUUCUUGCUAAAAUAUUACACACCUUCAAGACCAUCUCAAGCCCCCCCUUUCAGGAAGCUCUCCUCUAUCUACUCAUGCCCUCCGGUACCUGAGUAUUUGCACAAUAUUAGAACUUAAACAUUCAUCAUUUUAGUCUACAUUCCAGCAACUCUGUAAGGUUGGAAUCAUUUCCUCCAUUUUAUCGAUGAGAUAACAGGUUCAGAGAGGCCGGGUAUUGCCCCAGGAGGAAGGAGCUGGAGCCCCCACAGCUGUGUCUAUUCUACUCUGCCUUGGUGUGCUUGCUUUCCCAGGAGCACACCAGAUGUUGAGAGCAGUAGUUCUCAAACUUCAGGGUGCAUGUACAUUACCAGGGACUGUUUGGCAGACGUUCUGGGGUGGGGAACAAACAUCUGUGUGUGGUUCACCAACGGUCCCUGGUGACUAUGGUUUUAUGGCUGGUCCUGUAGCCAUUUGAGAACCGUUGCCUUCAGAGGUGCACGUAGUCCCAUAACUGAAGAUGUGGCUCCCUGAGGCUCCUGGGAAGCCAACCGCCUCCCCAGACCUACAGAAUGGGAAUGGAAAUCUCCGGGUGUGGGGGUGGGGGCUGGAGGGGGUGGGCCUGGGAAUCUCUAGCUAAGAGCCUCAGGGGUUUUUUAUCAUCUGGCAAGUUUGGGAAAGCUGACUGAGAGUCAGGCCCAUCCAAUUAGCACUUAAUUGUAUCCUGCUUUAUCUUCUUCCCCAAUUAGUUCUUCUGCAUCAGUUAAGCUCCUUGGAGGCCCAGACAACAGCACUUAAUUCAGCAUUGCCCUGAGAGCUGGCAUGGUGCUGGCUAGGUGACUGGCAUUAUGGAAAACUGACUGCAUCUGCUUUAGGAAGAGAGGCAUGUCCAGAGUGGAAAUUCUGGAAGCUCCUUGCAAAACUAAUACCUGGGCUUCUGCACCUCCCCAGCUUGAUGUCUGCUCUUAUCCCUCAUCUCUGCAAAGCCAGGUGCUUCCUCUUGCUUAAAGACCAGCUCAAGGCUCUCUUAUUCCAAGAACUGACUCCAUUACCUCCAGCUAGAUAUAAGCCCAUGGGUCUGUGGAUCCUUCUGAUGUGAAUUUACCUGGAUUUCUGUUUUUCACGGACAGAGGGCUUCAGGAAAGCUCCUGGCCUGACAUGAUGCUAGGCACAUAGUAUUGCUCUUUCCUUCCUACAUCCUCUUCUAGGGAGGGCAUCUUAUCCACCUUGAACAUUCCUACCAUGGAAAACAGUGGCUUGCACAUAGCACAAGGUCAGUUAAUAUUUUGGAUUCCUACAUAAGUCUCAGAGAUGUUAAUAGGAAUUACCAUCUUGUUGCAAUGAAUGUGAGCAAGUAUGUGUUGUGCACAUAAAUUAUCCCACUCCCGCCAAAGGACUAUGUUACUCUUUUUCAAUUACCCAAGCAACUACUCCAGUGCCUUAUGCAUGAUUACCUUCUCUAAGUAUUUUCUUUCUAAAUUAAUACAAUUAUUAACUUCUCAGGGUGUGAACUGUAAAGGGGAAAAUGUGUGCUUCUCUGUUUAAAACAUUAGUAUCUUUAUUUUAAAUCUACUCCAGACUUGCCCAGACUCCUUCACUACUCAGAGUCUCUGAGCAUCGGCUUCCUUAACAUUCAAAAUGGAAAUGAUAAUAAAAACUUUGCACAUCUCUAAAAAUCUCUGAAAAAAAAAAUUUGUCACAUUGAACACAUAAAGCAAGCACUGGAUAAAUUGUAGCUGCAUGGUAUAGUACAGACAACUUGAGACAUAGAUGGAAGGCAGAGCCUAUAUUUUAUUCCUGCCAAACAAAAAUUAAAACAAAGGCAUUAUAAGAACCCAGUGUUGGUGACAUUUGUGAUGGAACAGGCACACUUAUUUUGGAGGCCUGUUUAGCAAUGCUUACCAGGAGUCAUAAAUAUUUUCAUAUACUUUUACCACCGCACAGCAGUUCUAAGAAUUACUACAGGAGAAUGAUUUUUAGAGAGGAACAAGUUAAAUAUAGGCAUCAGUGUAAUUUACAAAGGUGAAAACAAAAAGUAACCUAAAUGCACAUGAAUGGGAGCAAGGUUACAUAAAUUACAGUGCAACAAUGUAAUGGAAUAUCUCACAGCAAUUAAGAAGGCUAAAGACAAAUCCCAGGUAGAAACAUUUAGUGAUUGAAAAUAAUAAGUGUAAUGGUAAAACACAAUUUUAUGUAUACUUUGAUUAAAAUGAUUCAAAAUGAUAUAUUUACUUACAGCCGUGAAGAAAAGAAUAAAGACAUGAACAUGUUUGCUGUGUUAUAUUAGUGAAAUUAAAUUUAUUUUAUACAUGCUAUAUAUGUAUGUAUACAUGCAUGUGCGUAUGUAUGUAUACAUUUAUGUAAAUAUAUAGAUGCAUGAAUACACAUAUGUAUAUGUAAAUAUGUAUAUGUACAUAAAUGUGUAUGUACACUUAUAUAGGUGUAUAUGCAUGUACAUAUGUAUGUGUAUAUGUAUAUGUGUAUAUCUACAUAUGUAUAUGUGUAUAUAUACCUUUAUGUACAUAUAUAAAAAUAUUUUAAUUUUUAUUUUAAAUACUUUAUAUAAAAUUUACACACACAUCUAUAUCUAUAAAAGUAGAUAUAUGUAUAUAUCUGUAUACAGAUAUAUAUGUAUACAUAUAUACAUAUAUACACAUAUAUACAUAUAUACAUAUCUGUAUACAGAUAUAUAUACAUAUAUAUCUGUAUAUAUGUACAUAUAUACAUAUAUACAUAUAUAUGCAUACAUAUAUACAUAUAUGCACAUAUACACAUAUAUGUACAUAUAUGCAUAUAUAUACAUAUAUACAUAUAUACACACACAUAUAUAUAUACAUGUCUACUUUUGAAAAUCUUCCUAAUAGUUCUGCAAGGCAGGUUUUAGUACCUUGAGGAAACAGGUGACAAUAUUUUACUAAAUCACAUAUCUAACAAAAGUUAUCAUAAGCCUUCAAAUGAACCUUGGCCCACCGGCCCCCAAAUCUUUGCUUUUUAAAAUUAUUCACAAAUUGUUUUCCAAUGUGUGUACAUUUGAUGUUGGUUUCUUUUGAUAACUCAUUUCCAAUAAGACCUUAUUUUAUAUUACAACAAUGAAGAUAGAUAAAUAAAUACAUCAAAAUAUUUAUUAUGUGUACUACAUACAUUUUAUAAUUAAAAUGUGCUAGAUUGUUACCUUGUUAGCUCCAAUCAACCACCUCCCAGUAUUCACAGUUUUGUGUAGUCCCAUUUCACAUAGGCACUAGACUUGGCUAUGUGAUGUGAUGUGUUUUGGCCAAUGGGUCAUUGGCAAGCUUGAAAUAAGAACUUCAUAAGUACUUGUGAGUUAAGGUUUGUCCUGUUAGAAGCUAGUCACCAUGCUAUCAAGACACCCAAGCUAGCUGCAUGGAGAUGAUGCAGGAUUUUUCUUGAUCCCUUUGCCAGCUGGGGACCUCCAGCCAGCAAUGACCCUGCCCAGGCCUCACUUGAGCAUGCUACCUGUUGCAGGAGGUGGCCUGCCCACCCAGCCCACCUGGGCUGCACCUGAAUUGUGAACUGGCUUAGCCCGAAGCUGGGCUGGGCAUGCUCUAGCUCACCUGUGUUAUAGCUCAUACCUGUGUUCAGUGGUUCCUGAGUUCUUGUCCCGCGUCCAAGAAGAAUGAGGAUAUGCUGACAAUUGAAGGGUGAGGAGAGCAGAGAAGAAUUUUAUUGAGUGAUGGAACAGCUCUCAGCAGAGAGGGGAUGUGGGGGUAGUCCCCCACCUGAAGUUGGGUGGUUUCUCUUCCAGUGUAGCUGAAUCUGAGGCUUUUAUGGACUCAGAAUAGGGGAGUGCAUGCUGAUUGGUUUGUGAAUAUGCAAAAAUGGUUAAAACAAAGGCACCACUCAAAUGUGGGCAUGACAGUGUAAAUAAACCAAUUAGGGAAGGGUAGGUAUAUGUAAAAUAGGUGAAGGGUGAGGAUCAAUCAGAGGAAAGCAUGCCCAACAGGAAGAUAGAUUCUCAGUCUGGUCUGUGGAUUUGACUUGUAGUUAGGCUUAAACUGUCUUUGGCUUGGAGAUGGGGUUUCACCAGGGACACGCCCCUAUCUGCCUAUGCAUUUGUCUGCCUCCUGCCACUAUCAGAGAGGCCACAGAGAAGAGAAUUGAGGCUUCCCAGAAAAGAGCCCUGAUGAGGUCCCCGCUCACAAUAUGGAGAGAUCGUUUAGGAUUACCAGCCCCUUUGAAGCCUCCAGAAAAUCACAGCUCUGUUAGUAAUUUUUGUGGACUCCAUGCAAAGAAAAGAAUCAUUUAAUGAGCCCAGUCAACCCAUAGAAUCAUGAGAAAUAAUAAAUCUUUGUAGUUUCAAAGCGCUAAGUUUUGGGAUGGUUUGUUAAACAGCAAGAGAUGACCAAUAUAUCAGACCUGAAAAAUUUAAAGCACCAGGAAAAUUUUAAAGUACCAGGAAAAUUUUAAAGUACCAUCCUAGCACAUAGUAGAUGCUUAAUUAAAAUGUCUAUGAAGAAGAAGGGGUCAAUUCUGUCACUUGGCAUUCAGAUUCCCUUUUUGCUCACUAUAGCCUUCCACUUUAAGAAGAGAACCAACAUCCCUGUUGAACUGGAUUCAUCUGCAAACCAGGCCAGCAAUCCUGGCUCAGGCAGGCCUUCCAGGAGGGCAAACUGUAUAGUUCUAUAGCAAAGGGGGCAUUGUCCUUUCUGAAAUGCCAGAUCCUUUAUAAGCUGGAGAGUUACAGUCACUGUUUGGUAAUUGCCCUGCCCCCUGCUAGUGCUUCCAUUCUUGGCUCUUAUAAUAAAGUUCAGUCUCAUGCUCAUUUUUUAUCUUCCUAAAUGGGGCCUGCCAUGGAGCAGCCAUUUGUAUUACGAUCUUAGGCAACCAUGACUGUUCCCAGCCACAGCAUCCCUAAUGCCACUGCCUUAGUUCAGACCCGUAUCAUUUCUCCCCUGGAUAAUUACAACAGCCCCUAACAAGUCUCCUAGCAUUUUGGCAUACACUCCUCUAUUCCAUUCUCUGUAGCAGGCAGUAGGCCAUUUCUAAAGUACAAACUAAAUCAUUUCACCAUGCUUUUUAAAACCUUCCAAUAGGCUCCCCAUUGCCUCAAAGCAAAAUUUCUCAGACUGGAUUAAUGAGUGAGUGUUCCACAGGGUGUGGGCUAGGAAUGAGAAUAUAGUUUAACACAUUUGGGAAACCCUGGGUUAAACAUGGUUAACCAGGUAUUUUUGUGUGUUUGUUACAGGAUUUCUCAGAGCCUUUAAUAUGCUGAUGCAAAUUGUGAAUCUUAUCACAAGAGUGAUAUAAAAUCAACAUUUACCAAACUUGCUUUCUUGGCAGACUAUCUUUGGUUCCACUGAGUUGCAGUUUAGAAUUUUUCAAGUAUUUCCAAGUCCCUUAGUCUGGUAGACAAGUUUCUUCAUAAUCUGACCCCUGCUUAUUUCUUCAGCACAAGUCUCUACAUUUCUCCCAGGUCCUUGCUUCUUGACAAUUUGGUUCCUAUGUACCUGCUUUCCUUUAUCUAAAGUCAACCAUCCUGUUCUUUCAUAGCCCUGGUUAAUUCUUAUUCAUCCUUUGAAUCUCAGGUCAGUCUUCUCUCCUCUGGGAAAUCUUAUCCUAUCCCCACCAUACCUCAUCCCACCCCACCCUCCCUUGGGCUGAGUUAUACAUUCACCCUAUGACAUCCCAUGCUUUUUCCUAUUAUAUUAACUUUCACACAACCUUAGAGUUUCCUGCUUGUCUCUCCUUGUAGAUUGCAUGUUCCUUUGGGCAGGGCUGUCAGCAGGGCACUUAGUGUGCAUUCAGUAAGUGUUUCUUGAGUAAAUGAGUACUGAGAAAUAGAAUGCAUUUUGUGAAAACAGUUGUUGACUAAGAAUUUUCUGAAUGCAGUCACACUGAUAGUAGAUACCUUUUCAGGUGCCAAUCCAUCUAUGGUGUAAACAUGUCUCUUAUACUGACCAUACUCUACAGGUGUUCUCUGUGAUACUAUCUCCUGGGACCAUUUAAAUUCACAUGAAGAAAACUGAGCCGACCUGACUCAUUCUCUGAGGAUUCGAACUUAGGAAUUGUUAGAAGUUUAUUCAAACUGCAGAAUCAUAAACUGCAGAGCUCUGGUGGCCGUUUUGUGUAUGAGUAAAUGGGAGCGAUGGAAGCAGUUCUGUAGAAAGAGAGGGAGAGAAGUGAAGGGCAUUGGGCUACAGAUGUUCCUCGAUGUCCCAAUAAACCCAUCAUAGAGUUGCAUGAUGUUGAAAAUAUUCUAAGUCACAAAUACAUUUAAUACACCUAACCUACUGAACAUCAUAACUUAGCGUGCCUUCAGUGUGCUCAGAACACUUAGAUUAGCUUACAUUUGGGCAAAAUCAUCUAUUUAACACAAAGCCUAUUUUAUAAUAAAAUAUUGAAUAGCUCAUGUAAUUUAUUGAAAACUAUACUAAAAGUGAAAAACAGAAUGGUUGCAUGGGUACCUGAAAUAUGGUUUCUACCAAAUGUGUAUUGCCUUUGCAACCAUCUUAAGUCAAACCAUCAUAAGCUGGGAACUGUCUGUAUUUAGAAAAAAGCAAAGAUGGAGAGGUAUUCCUAACCCCCUGGGUUCCUAAUUUCUCACAGAUUUCUCAUUUCAGCACUAGCUGAGGUCUGGCUAUCAGCCUGUCACAGAGUUAGGAGUAUGUCAUCACAGUGAUUUUUCUUUCCCCUCCUCCAGCCUAUUUGAAGGAGGCCCUGUUAUGUGUUACCAAUAGGGUCUUUACUAAGCAAUGUCUAGUUUUUUUCCUUGAAAAACUUGAAAUGUGAAUGGCUCUCUCAACAUGCUUCUCUUUGUAACAGCCACAUUGUGAAUAUUAAUGGCAGUACUUAAGCAGGUCGAUUGUGCACUGAGAAUAUGAAAUAUGCAUGUCACUUAAAAACAAAUGAUUGUCCAUACAGUGCUUGGGCUGAAUUAUUCUCCCUCAGGUUGUCACACCUGAUGCAGAGGGAAGCUAAGGCAAUGCAUCUGUGCCAGACUUUAUAGAUCCCAAGGUCAGGAUCAAAAUGUGCAGAUUCAGGAAGAUGCUUUUUCACUAAUGAUUUGUUACCGUUAACUUGACGCACUGGGUGGAUUUAUAUAGAGAAAAAUGUUAAUAAAAUGUUCUUCGAGCUACAUUUCUGCUUUGCUGAGUUGUCAUUCCAUUAAGCAAAUUUGAGGCAAUGUAAUUGCUAUAAGAUUCUACAUAUUUGCAAAUGAAUUUGUGAGUUUAUUUGGGAAAUGAAUGGGUUUUAACUUGGCUUGUUGGACUAAUUUUAUUUUGCUGUUUCCAGGAGAUGUCCUAGCGAG
rnacentral:lncRNA from 10 species